ACCUACAAGUUCGAAGAGGUAGACCGACAAAACUUACGAGCCGGUUUGCGACAGUCAUUGAGGAUAUUAGUAGCAGCCGGGGCAGUCGAGGUGGGCACUCAUCGUAGUGAUGGGCAGAGAAUAAGAUGUAAAGGGAUAAGCAAUGAGGAGUUUGAGGAGUUUUUGGACUCGGUUUCUAUGUUAACAAGCCCGUUGUGUACCGGGGAAAACUGGGUGGUGCACACCAGUGCUCACCAGAUGGGAAGCUGUAGGAUGGGGAUAAAUGAAGAGGAAGGUGCAGUUGAUGAAAAUGGAGAGAGUUGGGAAGCUGAAGGAUUGUUUGUUUGUGAUGCAAGUGUUUUGCCAAGUGCUGUUGGUGUAAAUCCAAUGAUCACUGUCCAGUCCACUGCUUAUUGUCUGUCAAAGAAGAUUGCAGAGUCUUUAAGACAACAAAAAUAGCCUUCUUGUAGUAAUCCCUCAUCAAACACCUACACGUUGUGCUUUUCUACAUUUGUUUGUGUGUAUUGGAUUGUAAGAAUAAUAAACAGAAAAGAUGAUUUAUCCAUUCUGAAGAUUUUUGUACUCUUAUGCUCCUUAUUCUAAUAAAUAUGGAAGUUCUAAAGUAAUCUUUAAGGACCUUUUGCAUAGUAUUUAAAGUAGAAAAAAUAGAAGUUACUCUCAAAGUUCGUUUGUGCCGAUUUGAGCUCAUAAUGAUCUAAAUUCGAGAAAGUUCAAGCUUGAAAUAAAUCCGAGCUCAAGAAUAUUUGAGAUCGAAAAAAUUUGAACUUGAGAAAGCUCGAGACUGUAAGAAUUUGAGAUCGACUUAAACCGGAAUGCAAGAUAGAUUCAAUUCAAAGCCUAAAAAAGCCCGAAUUUAUAAUUUAACAACCAUAGCUAUAAUAGAUAUUAAUAAUUAAUAUAAUUUUAUUAUAUUACUUAAAAUAGAAAUAAAUAAAAAUUAUUUAUUUUAUGAAAAUGUGUGUAUACACUAUACAUAUUUAUAUCAAAAUUUUAUUAAAAAUAAUUACAAAUAAUUUUUUAUUUUAAAUUAUAAAGUGAAAUAAAAUUUUAAAAACAUUAAUUGAAUAUAAAUAUUUUUAAUGCUAUAAUUAUUUAUGUAUAAUAAAGAUAUAAAAUUAACAAUUAUUAAAAUUUAAUAAUACAAUAAUUAGUGUUAUACUUAUGCAAUACUAAUAACAUUACUAAUAAAAUGAUUUGGGAAUUUAGGUUUUUUUUUUAUGAUUUGGGAAUUUAGGUUAAUAAAGUUUAAAUUGGGCUUAAGUUUGGUUGAUAUUGGGUUUGGGUUUUAAGUUGGUUAAUUUAGCUUAAAAAGUUAUACAUUUUAAAACUGAAAUCGAACCGAUAAUGUUGAAUCAACCGAUUACAUAAUCAAACUUUAAUGUAUAUGUAUAAAAUAUUAAUAUAUUAUAUAUUAUAUGAUAAUACAUAACAUUAUAUAAUAUAGUAUGAGAGUUAAUUUCAAAUGUACAAAUAGUAUAGAGACUUAGAACAUAUUUCAACUAGUAUAAUAAACAAUGAUAUAUAAUAAUUAAUAUAUUAUGUACUAUAAUUAUAGUAUGUGAUAUAGCAUUACAUAAUGUCAUAAUAUGUUUUAAAACUAUUAAUGUCACACCCAGUUUUCGUUAAGACUAAAAAUUUAGAAAUAAUUAAGGGAUUAAAUUGAAAGAAGUCAUAAUUUGGUGGCCUCUAUUAGAAAGUCGGAAGGAGAGAGUAACCAAUUUAGGAUUUGGUUGAAAUCCAAGGACAAUUUGGUUGGAUUUGAACCAGCCAGUCUUUUAGUGGGGGACAAAAUAAUUAGGGAUGAAUGAUUGUUAUACGGUAAGAGAUCAUGCAUGAAGGGUUAUAAAUAACUGAGAGUUGAAUCCUUAAAGGGGGAUUCCUCUCAAAUCUAUUUCAUUCCUUUCCCUUCUUAAUCUUCUUCCUCGGUUGCUCCGAGGGAGCGAUGAUCAUGGGAAACUCUGCAUGAAGUGAUGGUCGUGAGAAAUUGGUCAGAAAAGUAGAAAAUUCAAGAAGCUGGUAAGAUAUUGAAUCCUUCAAUAUGUGUAAGAUUUAGGAACCAAAGUUAACGGUUUCCAGAACCAUUUUAGGGGUUCUGCGUGUUCUGGGAAAUUGAGGUUUAGGUUAAAAAUACUGGGUUUAACCCAUGAUUUGGUUGACGUGCUUAGCUGCCAGAAGAAUGAAAGCUCUGGUGUUCGGAAAAACUAAGUAGAGGAAAAGACAAAGAAGAUCAAGUGAGUUUCUAUGCCCCAUUUCUAGGAUGUUGUAUGAAUAGCAUGAAUGCUGCGAUGAUAGAUGCAUAAGUUGGCAUGUUCCAUGUUACUAAGCUUAUGUGAUUAUAUGUUUGUGCUUGUGUGUGUGAUGGUUUGUGAAACACGGAGGGAAAUUUUCGUCAGGUUAGAUUAAGUUAGGACUUGGGAAAAGGAUGAUUAUGUUAGAUAACAACAUAAGGUGUUGCUAUGUGGAAACUGUGAUGGCGAAGCUUCGGGCCUUAUGAAAGGGACACUACAGUAUUUGAGCAUCAAUGUUAGGAAUGGUGAAAUGGAGGAAUGGAUGACAAGCAAUGAGAAAGGUAAAUGAAAAAAAUCAUAGCUAGGCCAUGGGUCUAAUCGAAAACUAUAUGCCUAAAAUGAGUAAGACCAUAACUGAAAAAUGUUAUGACAUCGAAAUAGCAAUGAGUAAGGCCAUAGCUGAUGUAACACCCCGAAACCUGGCCCAUAAGUCUUGAUCGAAUUUUGGAGGUCACAUUAUUGAAUUCCAAUUUCCUCUUCAAAAGUCAACCUCUUUUUUUGUUCAACAAAAUUUAGUAAAAACUAAACCUAUGCUUUGCAAAUAAUGUUUGAUUGGUGUUAACAUUUAAGUAAAAAAUAAACCAAUAUGGUGUUUUUUGAACAGUUUCAAAAUGCGUCAAAUUUGACAAUCAUAAUCCAAAAUUCAAAACCAGUGACACAACAGAAAACAUGUUGUUUACCUUUUAACAAAAGACUACAUGUCAUUUCUCAAAAAUUGUGUAAACUUUAGAACAAUUACAAAAAGACUAGUUAAGAACCAUGGGCGGAAUUUUCCAGAAAACUUUGUUCAAAAAUCGAAAACCCAAAAUUUAACGAGUAAUUCAAUCACAAAGCCCAUACAACAGUUUAUAAACUCCCCUACAAAUCAACUGAAAAUAAUAAACAGAAUUUAAGAAACAUCGUUAAAACAAACCCAACUCUUUAAGAAUUUGAGACCUCCGGUAUGCCGAGUCCAACCUCCAAGCUCAAACUUAACUUGAAAAGAGAGGAAACUGAGGGGAUGAGCUAUGCGAGCUUAGAGUGAGUUCGAAACAAAAAUGACAAAAAUUGACGAGGUUUCAAAACAAAUAUCCCAGAUAAGAGUACACAGAUAAGAGUACACAGUCAAUGUAUGAAAAUCUUGAACCGGUAGUCAGAAGUACGAAUACAUUUCCGUAAGCCAUUCAAAGAAACACCUACAUUACUCCAUACACACAGAAGUAUUAAACUAAUCCAAUUAUUAUUCAAUUCGUAAACAAUUUGAACAUUACUUAAUAAGACACAUAAACUCAAAUGCAAACUGAAUGCAACAAGUUAAAAUCCCACCCACCCAUCCAACCAAACACCACUCUGACCACCCUACAAACCACAAUUAGACUAUAGUAAGCCCACCCACCCUACAUACCACAAAUGUGGAACUAAGCCACUCGAAUUAAAAUAUACAGCUCAGCUGACAUAUGUACAAAAUCAUGUGGUAAUUCGCUGUACAGGAAUACUGUAGUUGAACUGCGAAAUCAGUCUUACUUCUCUUCACGACCACAAUCCUAGAUUUUAUGCAAAUGCAUUAAUGCCUACCAUUUGCUAACAGACUCACUGAAGCAGAGGUAUAUUUUUAGUUGAAUACAUUCAGAAUCAAUUAUACUUGUAUUCAUUUACUAGGUAAUAUCUCAAAACCAUUUAUGACAUCACAUUAACGCAUAGAUAAACAAUUAGCUUUAAUCCUAUAAUUGUAAAUACACAUACGAGUCUAAGCUGAAACAAAUUCCUUAAACACAUUUACAGAGGCCUCAACAAACGUUGGACUGCAUAGGAACUGAAACGAGUCAGUUUACGACUUUAAACAAAAAUCUACGAAACAGAGCCACAUGGCCAUGUGCCCGACCGUGUGCAAGGUCUACACGGCUGUGUGAAAGGUCUACACGACUGUGUGAAAGAGGGACAUGCCCGUGUGAAAGAGACAUACGGCUGUGUGGCGGAGACACACGCCCGUGUGAUAGAGUAACAUGGCCGUGUGAGUAGCCCGUGUAACUCACUGUGUAAAUGUUCAAAAAUUAGCAAAAUUAGGAAGUAGAGUAGACAUGGCUGUGUAGCUACCUCAAACGCUUGUGUGGCUGAGGAACACGGCCGUGAGUCCAAGGCACACAUCCGUGUGAAAAAUGAUAAAAUUCCCAAAUAGUAGCCACACGGCCAUGUGGCACACCCCAAUCCGAGGGACCUAAAAAUUACCCUAAUUUCACAGUGACGCAUGACCGUGUGGACUGCCUAUGUGGUCACGAAACCACACCGAAAUAGGUUGAAAAUCGUGAAUUGUGACAGCAAAAUGAUUCCUAAUCACUAAUAGUUCAAAAACACACUUGACUGAUGUUCCAAGGCACCAAGAACCGACCACUUCGCCUUUACUCUAAUGACCUGAAACUCAAUUCUGCAAACAUACUAAAGCUAUAAACAAUUUUAAACCUAAAUCUUAUAAUCAAUUGUCAAGAAUCAUUCGCAUAAACCCAAAUACAAAACUAUCCUUACACUCACCUGAUUCGUCGUCCGAACAAACGAAGAAUAAGAGUACCACCAGGAUUUUGAGGCAAUGGUUAACAAUAUUGAAACCCAAAAAAGGAAAGGAAGAAAUACAAAAAAAGGGAAAAAAACCAAAAAUAAAAAAUAUGAACAACUCAAGAAAAGAGGAAGUGAAAACUAACAUGUAGAGAAAGAGAGUGUGUGUGUGGUGAGACAUUUUUGGAAUUUUUAUUUUCAAAAUAAAAAUGAAAUAAAGUUAAGUAAAUAAAUAAAUAUAACAUAAAAAUAAUACUUACCAACAAACCUAAGAUUAAAACAAAAUUUCCUUUUUACUCGAAUCGAGACUCAAACAUAAGACCAAGAGUAAGCUGAACACUUAACCAUUGAAACACAUGAUCAUGUUGUACUAAAAACACUCAGAAAAACGUAAACACCUACUCGAAGUCUCUAGCUUACACGUAAAUCUUAAUCCUUCUAACCCCUAAUUUUGGGAUGUUACAACGCACCUCUCCUUAAAGAAAUUUUGUCCCUGAAAUUUCCCACUAACUGAACAGUCGCCUAAAUGCAAAACUCACCACUACACUCCCGCUGCGCAUGCUAACCUUGACGUACUACAAUACCGUACUUAACAUUAAAAUCUCAUACACCCAACCAAACACCUAACCACUAAACCAGAUCAAAUUCCUUUACUAUCUUAUACACAAAACACUAUCCAACAAAUUCCUAACUUACACUUAUCGGCUAUUUUUAUAACCACGUGUUCCCCACACUAUCAACCAAAAAUCUAAUCACAACCAUGGCAUAAAAACCCAAAAAUUAAAGUAUCCUAUAACCAUACCUGUCUCAAUGUCGUCGAGGGCACUCCUUAAUCUGAUGCUCUGUGGACCCACAUAUGAAACAUGCUCCUGAUUUUUUUACGCUCACCUGGAUGACACUUCUUACAAUGUUCACAAACCGACACAUCCAUGCCACUAGUAGGAUAUUUGACAUUACCUUUGCUCACAUUCAACUAAGGUCUCACACGCUUCACAGAUUGAGGCUCCAAACUCAAAGGACUAAGAUCCCUUUUCUUCUUACACUCCACACAUCUAUCUUGAACCAUUACUCUGGUUCUCUUUAAACUAGCCUAAAAAACUUUCUCUAAAACUUCCCUCACUACCUGAGUCAAUGCCUCCGUACCAACUUUUGAGUUAUUGCCAUUCGUAGCUAGCGUAACCAUAUCGGCCUCUGACUACUGAGCAGACACACGUCCUAGAGGACCAGAUGACUCUUCAAGAUCACACUAGGCUGAUCCUCACGAUUUAGCUUGUCACUAGAAUCUAUUUCAAACCUCGUAACUAAUUUUAAAAGAUCUACAAUACCAAAAUUGAACACAAAAGUAAAUUUCUAAACACUACAGUUCUAAUCUUACAACCUUGGAGUUUCACACGGACCAGCAUUGGAGUCUCAGACAUUUUAUUUUUACAAACAUUUUCAAACACAAAACAUUUUCUAAAAACUAUGGUAUGUAUGUUUUUUUCAAAAAUACUUUUAACACACAUGCUUGCGAGCAUGUAAAAAUACAGGUCUAGUUUUGGAAAACUUGGCUCUAACACCAUUAAAUGUAACACCCUGAAACUUGGCCUAGAAGUCUUGACCGAAUUUUGAAGGUCACAUUAUUGAAUUUCAAAUUCUUCUUCAAAAGUCAACCUCUUUGUUUAUUCAACAAAACUUAGUAAAAAAUAAACCUAUGCUUAGCAAAUAAUGUUUGAUUGGCGUUAACAUUUAAGUAAAAAAUAAACCAAUUUGGUAUUUUUUUGAACAGUUUCAAAAUGUGUCACAUUCAACAAUCAUAAUCCAAAAUUCAAAACCAGUGACACAAUAGGAAACAUGUUUACCUUUUAACAGAAGACCACAUGUCAUUCUCAAAAAGCGUGUGAACUUUAGAACAGUUGCAAAAAGACUAGUUAAAAAUCGUGCGUGGAAUUUUCCAGAAAAAUUUGUUCAAAAAUCGAAAACCUAAAAUUUAACGAGUAAUUCAAUCACAAAACUCGUACCACAGUUUAUAAACAUUUUUACAAAUCAAUUGAAAAUAAUAAACUAAAUUUAAGAAACAUCGUCAAAACAAACCCAACUCUUUAAGAAUCCGAGACCUUCGAUAGGUGAGUCCAACCUCUAAACUCAAAGUUAACUUGAAAAGAGAGGAAAUUGAAGGGAUAAGCUACACGAGCUCAGUGUGAGUCCGAAACAAAAAUGAUAACAAUUGACGAUGUUUCAAAACAAAUAUCCCAGCUAAGAGUACACAAUCAGUGUAUGAAAAUCUUGAAUCGGUAGUCAAAAGUACAAAUACAUUUCCGUAAGCCAUUUAAAGAAACACCUACAUUACUCCACACACAGAAGUACUAAACUCAUCAAAUUAUUAUUCAAUUCGUGAACAAUUUUAACAUUACUUAAUCAGACACAAACUCAAAUGCAAACUGAAUGCAACAAGUUAAAAUCCCACACAGUCAACCAAACACCACUCUGACCACCCUACACACCACAAUUGGACUAUAGUAAGCCCAUCCACCCUGCACACCAUAUAGGACCAUGAUAGACCCAUCCACCCUACACACCACAAAUGUGGAACUAAGCCACUCGAAUUAAAAUAUGUAGCUCAGCUGACAUAUGUACAAAAUCGUGCGGUAAUCCGCUGUACAGGAAUAUUGCAGUUGAACUGUCAAAUCAGUCUUACUUCUCUUCACGACCAAAAUAUCAGGUUUUAUGCAAAUUCAUGAAUGCACACCAUUCGCUAAAAGACUCACCGAAACGGAGGUAUAUUUAUUGUUGAAUACAUUCGAAUCAGUUAUACUUGCAUUCAUUUACUAGGAAAUAUCUCAAAACCAUUUAUCACAUCACAUUAACGCAUAAAUAAACAAUUACUUUAAUCCUAUAAUUGUAAAUACACAUACAAGUCUAAGCUGAAAUAGAGUCUAAAACAUAUUUACAGAGGCCUCAACAAACGUUGGACUACACAAGAACUAAAACGAGUCAGUUUACGACAUAGAACAAAAAUCUACGACACAGAGCCACACGGCUGUGUGGGAGAGUCUAGGUCGUGUGAAGGGUCUACAUGGUCGUGUGAAAGAGACACAUUGCCGUGUGGUAGAGACACAUGCUCGUGUGAGUAGCCUAUGUAACUCACUAUUCAAAUGUUCAAAAAUUAGUAAAAUUAAUAAGCAGAGUAACACAACUGGGUGGCUACCUCACACGCCCUUGUGGUUGAUGAACACGGCCGUGUGUCCAAGGCACACGCCCGUUUUGAAAAUGAUAAAAGCCCCAAAUAGUAGCAACAUGGUCGUGUGGCACACCCCAGUCCGUGUGACCCAAAAUUUUCCCUAAUUUUAUAGCGACGCACGACCGUGUAGAUCGCCUAUGUACGGCACACGUCCUUGUGGCUAUCCAUGUGGUCAUGAAACCACACCAAAACAAGCUAAAAAUCGCGAAUUGUAACAGUAAAGUGAUCCCUAAUCACUAAUAGUUCAGAAACACACCUGAUUGAUGUUCCAAGGUACUAAGAACCGACCACUUUGCCUUUACUCUAAUGACCUAAAACUCAAUUUCGCAAACAUACUAAAGCUAUAAAAAAAUUUCAAACUAAAUCUUAUAUCAAAUUAUCAAGAAUCAUCCGUAUAAACCCAAAUACAAAAUGAUCCAUACACUCACUAGAUUCGUCGUCCAAAAAAAUGAAAAAUAAGAGCACCAUCAAGAUUUUAAGGCAGCAGUUAAGAAUGGUAUUGAAACUUAAAAAAGAAAAGGAAGAAAUACGAAAACAAUAGGGAAAGGAAAACUAAAAAUAAAAACUAUGAACAACUCAGGAAAGGAGGAACUGAAAACUAACGUGAGGAGAGAGA
rnacentral:lncRNA from 1 species